AGAGUUUGAUCCUGGCUCAGAUUGAACGCUGGCGGCAUGCCUAACACAUGCAAGUCGAACGCGAAAGCCCUUCGGGGUGAGUAGAGUGGCGGACGGGUGAGUAACGCGUGGGAAUCUGCCCUGCAGUGGGGGACAACCCGAGGAAACUCGGGCUAAUACCGCAUACGUCUUACGGGAGAAAGGGGGCCUUCGGGCUCUCGCUGCAGGAUGAGCCCGCGUCCGAUUAGCUUGUUGGUGGGGUAACGGCCCACCAAGGCGACGAUCGGUAGCUGGUCUGAGAGGAUGAUCAGCCACACUGGGACUGAGACACGGCCCAGACUCCUACGGGAGGCAGCAGUGGGGAAUAUUGGACAAUGGGCGAAAGCCUGAUCCAGCAAUGCCGCGUGUGUGAAGAAGGCCUGCGGGUUGUAAAGCACUUUCAGUGGGGAAGAAAAGCCGGAGGUUAAUACCCUUUGGUCUUGACGUUACCCACAGAAGAAGCACCGGCUAACUCCGUGCCAGCAGCCGCGGUAAUACGGAGGGUGCAAGCGUUAAUCGGAAUCACUGGGCGUAAAGCGCACGUAGGCGGCGAGGUAAGUCAGAUGUGAAAGCCCCGGGCUCAACCUGGGAACUGCAUUUGAUACUGCUUGGCUUGAGUAUGGUAGAGGGGGGUGGAAUUCCAGGUGUAGCGGUG
rnacentral:rRNA from 1 species